UUGGGAGGCAGAGGCAGGUGGAUA
rnacentral:piRNA from 2 species